rnacentral:rRNA from 1 species
GAUGAACGCCGGCGGCGUGCCUAAUACAUGCAAGUCGAGCGAACGGACGAGAAGCUUGCUUCUCUGACGUUAGCGGCGGACGGGUGAGUAACACGUGGAUAACCUACCUAUAAGACUGGGAUAACUUCGGGAAACCGGAGCUAAUACCGGAUAAUAUUUUGAACCGCAUGGUUCAAAAGUGAAAGACGGUCUUGCUGUCACUUAUAGAUGGAUCCGCGCUGCAUUAGCUAGUUGGUAAGGUAACGGCUUACCAAGGCAACGAUGCAUAGCCGACCUGAGAGGGUGAUCGGCCACACUGGAACUGAGACACGGUCCAGACUCCUACGGGAGGCAGCAGUAGGGAAUCUUCCGCAAUGGGCGAAAGCCUGACGGAGCAACGCCGCGUGAGUGAUGAAGGUCUUCGGAUCGUAAAACUCUGUUAUUAGGGAAGAACAUAUGUGUAAGUAACUGUGCACAUCUUGACGGUACCUAAUCAGAAAGCCACGGCUAACUACGUGCCAGCAGCCGCGGUAAUACGUAGGUGGGCAGCGUUAUCCGGAAUUAUUGGGCGUAAAGCGCGCGUAGGCGGUUUUUUAAGUCUGAUGUGAAAGCCCACGGCUCAACCGUGGAGGGCCAUUGGAAACUGGAAAACUUGAGUGCAGAAGAGGAAAGUGGAAUUCCAUGUGUAGCGGUGAAAUGCGCAGAGAUAUGGAGGAACACCAGUGGCGAAGGCGACUUUCUGGUCUGUAACUGACGCUGAUGUGCGAAAGCGUGGGGAUCAAACAGGAUUAGAUACCCUGGUAGUCCACGCCGUAAACGAUGAGUGCUAAGUGUUAGGGGGUUUCCGCCCCUUAGUGCUGCAGCUAACGCAUUAAGCACUCCGCCUGGGGAGUACGACCGCAAGGUUGAAACUCAAAGGAAUUGACGGGGACCCGCACAAGCGGUGGAGCAUGUGGUUUAAUUCGAAGCAACGCGAAGAACCUUACCAAAUCUUGACAUCCUUUGACAACUCUAGAGAUAGAGCUUUCCCCUUCGGGGGACAAAGUGACAGGUGGUGCAUGGUUGUCGUCAGCUCGUGUCGUGAGAUGUUGGGUUAAGUCCCGCAACGAGCGCAACCCUUAAGCUUAGUUGCCAUCAUUAAGUUGGGCACUCUAAGUUGACUGCCGGUGACAAACCGGAGGAAGGUGGGGAUGACGUCAAAUCAUCAUGCCCCUUAUGAUUUGGGCUACACACGUGCUACAAUGGACAAUACAAAGGGCAGCGAAACCGUGAGGUCAAGCAAAUCCCAUAAAGUUGUUCUCAGUUCGGAUUGUAGUCUGCAACUCGACUACAUGAAGCUGGAAUCGCUAGUAAUCGUAGAUCAGCAUGCUACGGUGAAUACGUUCCCGGGUCU